GGGGAUUUAGCUCAGCGGCAUAAGCGCCUGCCUUGCAAGCAGGCAGUGUGAGUUCAAUCCCUG
rnacentral:tRNA from 1 species